AGAGUUUGAUCAUGGCUCAGAUUGAACGCUGGCGGCAUGCUUAAUACAUGCAAGUCGAACGGUAACAGAUUCUUCGGAAUGCUGACGAGUGGCGGACGGGUGAGUAAUACAUAGGAAUCUGCCCAUGUAGUGGGGGACAACUUGGGGAAACUCAAGCUAAUACCGCAUAAUUCCUACGGGAUAAAGAGGGCCACUGCUUGCAAGCUCUUGCUACUGGAUGAGCCUAUGUCGGAUUAGUUAGUUGGUAAGGUAAUGGCUUACCAAGACAGCGAUCCGUAGCUGGUUUGAGAGGAUGAUCAGCCACACUGGGACUGAGACACGGCCCAGACUCCUACGGGAGGCAGCAGUAGGGAGUAUUGGACAAUGGGCGCAAGCCUGAUCCAGCAAUGCCGCGUGUGUGAAGAAGGCCUGCGGGUUGUAAAGCACUUUCAAUUGGGAAGAAAGAUUAUGAGUUAAUACCUUAUAAUAUUGACGUACCAAACAAGAGAC
rnacentral:rRNA from 1 species